GGCGAAAAUGAAUCCCAAGAAAGCGCGAGUGGCCCCAUCGGCUUUAGAAAGCAGAUUCUGGGCAGACGCAGAGCGAGAUUUCAUAAGGACCAAAGACUCAGCCGCCUGAGAUGACACGGUGAGAGAGGAAAAAUACACCUUGCAGGUUAAGAGUAAGUUCCAGUUUGUCCUAUGCUAAGGCCUUGCAAGGUAAGAUUUCUACUUGUAACUAAUAAGUCCCUGUUUCUUACUUAGAUCUGAUGUUAAACCACAGAACACUAAAUUUGGGACCCCAUUCCCAUGCGGUAAUCCUUACCUCAUUCCUUUCCUUUCCCUGUAUCUUUCUAACAAUGUGUAACAGCUCCUGUGAACAUCUUCUCUAAAAAGGACCUCAAGGGGUGGGCGGGGACUGGUCUCUCAAAUCCUAAUUUGGGAUGAGGCUGGCCAGUCAUAAGUUUACCCCAAAUACAGCUUGCUCUAACUGGACAAUUUUGGAACCAGUCUUUCCUCCUCGGGACCCUCAGGGUUGGCAGAUGUGGACUCUUAAAUGUGUAUGACCGAGUUGGAGAGAAUGAGGUGAAGGGCACAGAUUUGCGGUCACGCAGGUCUCAGGGCUGGCUUACCCCAGCUGUCAUGAGGGGUAGAAAAAAUAAGUGUGGGUGUGGAGGAGCUAGGUCUCUAUGUCGUCUUCUUCCCUACCCAUGUUCACAAACACACAUAGAGAUUCCCCCACUUCCAAUGUAAAUAGUGAGUAAAAUAAAUCUAAAACAAAAACAACAGCAAUAUAUACUCAACAUGAAUGGAGCAGAAGAAAGCAGAGAUGAGCAAGGGGCAGAAUAGCAAUGAAAAAAAUUUAAUCUGAAAAUGUUAAGAAGUUCUUUGAGAUCCACAGAGCUGGCAAUCCCCCAGCUGCAGCAAUUAAACAGUAAAACCGGUGCAAAUUCCCAAUGAGGGGAGAGAGGCGGAGCACUGCUGUCGAUCUGGCUGAUAUGGAGAGAUAUUAAAAUAUGAAAAAUGGCUGGUAAGCUCAACACCUUCAUCAAACAGACAUCUUCCCGAAGGAAUGGACUGAAAACUGUAUUUUAAAAUUCACACAGGCUCUUUACAGAGCAAAAUUAAAGCCUUUUCUUUAAAGAGACCCAGACCUACGUUUUGCACUGAGUUCUGCCAGAUACAGAUCCGAGCUGGAGGCGGUUCAGAAACACCCGUGGGGCCAGCGCCGUAGCAGAAGCAGAAAGACAUUGCAAGAAAAGAAAACCUGCAGCCUAAGAAUAACUCUCAUCGAUAGAAGUACAAUAUUUUAAAACUAAAUAUUCACAAAGAUUACACAGAAAGGGGUAAUAUCCUGAACUGAAUUUUAUUAUACCUCAGGAUAUCUCAGAGAUAUCUCAGGAACUGAACAUUUUACAUUUUAAAUGGACAUGAUUCAACAGUAAAAAUUAAGACUGUAACAAACAAUAAACACUGAAAAAUUAUUGUCGAAAUUUGACCCUGACUCAGGAUAAAACCAAGACCCUGUAAAGGGGGACCGUCCUCGCUGACAGAAAGACGGCUACGGAAGUUCUCGUUCUUGUCUGACUUAAUGAAUGAUAAGCGGUAGGACCUGAAGUUGUGAAACACUGAGUGUCUGUGUUGACCAUCUCAGUACCACGCCGAGUGUCAGCCAGCCAGACUCAAGGAAAAGAGAGCAAAGGCAACUCCAUUGUGCAGUAUUGGAAAGCCCCAAGGAGACACUGUAGAGUUAAGGUCAUUGCAUGGGGUGGGGGAGGGGGUAUUUCUCCAACAUCAGCAGUGAGUUCCAGAAAAAGAACAUUUAAAUAAUACUGCUUGUUACAGCACCAAUACUAGCAGAUAGGGAUAGAGUAUGUUCAAGAUGACACAAAGUGAAGGGAAAGUUUAACAGGUAAAUAAGCACACAUACACUGUGUUCAGAGAUUGGGUAGUCAGCACUGUUUCUCACUCAGCAACCUCACUAGUAGGUAUAGUUGUUUAAAAAUUCAGAAAAUAAAUAUUGGUAUGGAUGUGUAAAAAUGGGCACCCUCACACUAGUAGGAAAUUAAAGGCACAGGCACUUCAGAAAGCAGCAUAGUAAAUACUACAUAACCUAGUAGCCCACAGACCCCCCCCCAAAAAAAAGAAAAAGAAAAUCCAGUACUCACUCAAAAAACACUCAUGGGAACAUUCAUAGCAAUAUUUUUUUUCACAAUGGCUCCAAGGCAAAACCAAUUCAAAUGUAGUCUAUCCACAUAUGGGAAUAUUACUCGGCCAUAAAAAGGAAGAGAGAACCAGCUGAGCACAAGCAUCCAGUCGCUCUUGCACUUUCCUGCCCUCACUUGCUCGCUCGCUCAUUCUCUGACCAUGGAUGCGGUGUGACCUGAUACCUCAUGCUCCUGCUACUGGGCUGUCCCUGCUCUGAUGGGCUGCAUCCCCAAAUUGUGAGGCGGAGCUACCACUGUCAUCUCAUGGGGACAACAUGACUUGCUAGAGCCUGUCUUGCCUCAAUGUCCCCUCUUGUAAAUCAUGGAAUAAAUACAGCAGUGCCCUGAAGGAAACAAGCAAGCUGAGCCACCAACCUGUCCUACUUUUACUUCUCCAGAAGAAAGCAAGUGGGUCCUCUGGAACGUCAUGGAUUCCUUUCUGGCUCCUCCAACCCAAGACCAUCAAGGACAAUGGUGGAGGACAGGGGACAGUGCAAGUCACCAGAAAGAUGUCAAACCUAUUGCUAAAGGGUAAAAGGAGAUAGCUAUCAUAUCACCCGAAGUCAAGUCUGCCCACCUGGGGUCAGGUUAAGGCCCUCUGAACCAAGGAAGGGGUUCAUUUACUAGUGACUCUGAGUUUAUGUAAUAAGAGCCUCAUUCAUUCAUUUGGAGAAGGGACCUUAAUUUUUCCUUGGGAUUUAAAUCACUUCCUAUUUUGCAAUAGGACAUUUGUAUUCCUAUUGGAAGGCAAAUAUGGGCUUAUGUAUUAUCAGGCACCAGAGCUACUAAUUAUAUAGGUCUCUUUUAAAGCUAUUCUCUAGAUAUUUUUGAUCAAUAUAAUAAUGUAACUAAUAGUUUUGGACAUAGUUUAGAUCUUGGUGGCAGGGCAGACACACAAUGCUUUCACUGUCCUAAUAGUGUAAUUUGCUUGCUUAUAGGAUACUCAUGUACCAAAUGACAAUUAGAUCUACCUACAACCUCUCGUAUCAAAAUCACUCUGAAUAUCCUUGUAUUAAAAUGUAAAAAGAGGGAGAUGUCUGAACACAGUCCAAAAAUGGAGUUGUGUGAGGAUUCUGAGUGCUUGUGAGAAAACUCCAUGAAAACAAGUCUUGUGACCACAGUUUCUUCAAAACACAGAACUGUUCUCGGGAUGUUUUUUCGUGCUCCUCCUAGGUAUAAUGGGUGGGAGCUUACUUCAGCUGUUGUUAUUCAUGUGUCUCUAUAGACAAGCAUGUUUUUACCAACACCCUACUCAUGUGAUUCUUAACCCUCAGAGUAUUAAGUGCCUGGUGCUCUGAGUGAAGCCAGCUAUCACAUGAGACCAGUCUGCCUCACACCGCAGUAAACAAUUCAUCAAUUAAAUCAUAGCCAGCAACAGAGUCACAUGGCCCAGAGAUCCCAUUACUCAGUGUCUACCAAAGAAAAAUAAAAGCAUAUCCCCACUUCAAACCUUUGUGUUCACGGCCAUCAGUUGGUAAACACAAUGCUGUACACCCACACAAUGGUAAUCACAGGACAGUACAGAGAAAAGCAGUCCUGGGACACACUGCAACACAGAUGAACCUGAAGGACAUCAUGCUAAGUGAAACAAGCCAGGCAGAAAUGAUUCUACUCAGAGCAGUGGUUCUCAGCUUCCCUAAGGCUUUAAUACAGCUCCUUGUGCUGUGGUGACCUCCAGCUAGAAUUACUUUGUUGGUACUUUAUAACUAUGAUUUUUUUUGUUUUGUUUUUUUUUGUUUGUUUUGUUUAUUUGAGACAGGGUUUCUCUGUAUAGCUCUGGCUGUCCUGGAGCUCACUCUGUAGACCAGGCUGGCCUCAAACUCAGAAAUCUGCCUGCCUCUGCCUCCCAAGUGCUGGGAUUAAAGGCGUGUGCCACCACCGCCCAGCCAUAAGUGUGAUUUUGCUGUUAUGAAGGAUAUGUUAGGAUAUCUGAUAUGUUACCUCUUCUGGAAGGGUCUUUUGAUUCCCAGAGGGCUCACAACCCACAGGUUAAGAACCUCUGACUCAGGUGAAAUAUCCAAAGCACGUGAUCUACAGAGACUAAGGGCAGCCUGGUAGUUGCUCAGGGCUGAGGGACAGAGAGUGACUACUAGUGGGUAUAUAGCAUUUCUCAGGAGAGCCAGCGACAGUCUACAGUUGGCCUGUGAUGAUGGCUAUGUCACCCAGUAAUGUUUAUAAAAACACGGAAUCACAUACUUUGAAUAAGGAAAUCCCUAUGGAGUACGAUUAAAACUCAGUAACACUAUUAAACAGCUAAUCAAAAUACUUAUCAAUAAGCACAGAUGACAAUACAAUCUCUUCAACUUUUCUCAAUGUUUGAAGAUUUUCAUGGUAAAUAUUUAGAGAGAAAUGCAAGUAAGAGGCUACUAGUCCUCACAGAAAGCCUAUCUCCGGACUAUAAUAACUACUGCUAUGAAGUUCAGGUUACCAUGAGACAAACCUAGCACAUGAUAAAGUAGUCAGAAUUCCACAAAAACUCUAAAUAAUGUAAAAAGACAAAUAAAUUACAUACAUAAUAUAAAAACACAAAAAGUUGGAAGAACAAUUUAUAACAGACUGACAAGAAGUAGGCAUGUGUUCAUCGGAUGGAGAAGCUCACACCUACAAAAAAAGACAAUCCCUGAUGGAAAGCAAUGUCACACGAGGAGCUGUGUCUCACAGCCAGCUAGAGGAAUAGCAAGGGGACACAGGAGACAAGGGGACACAGGAGACACUGUGUCAUGAGACUAAGGAUGGUUUCGACAUCUCCACAUGCCAGAGUGGAGCAUGAGAGUGGUGCAGGCAGGGGAAGAUGCUGCAGACUCUGGAAGCUCCUUAGUCACGUGUCCUUUGAACAAGGGUCCCCUUCCUGGAGGUACAGGGCAAGCACCUCCUGAGGCAGGGAUGGGAACUACACUGUCAGACUCAGGGCUGCCAGGGAGGUGAGUGUUCUGGUUGACGGGUUUUUUUUCACGUAGUAGCAGCUGUUGACUUCGAAGAGUGUUUUUAAAGAUAAGAGGGCUUCGAUAUGGCUCAGUUGACAAACCUUUCCAUGCACGAAUCCCUGCCUUUGAGCCCUUGGCACUGCAUAAAAAUCAAAGGAAACAGAACAAAACACAGGUGUGGAGAUGCACGCAUGCAACCCCAGCACUCAGGAAGCAGAGGCAGGGGGUCAGUAGUUCCAGGCUAUCCUUGGCUAUAUAGGAAGUUUAAGGUCAGCUUGGGAUAUUCAUGAGAUCCUGUCUCCAAAAAAUAAAAAAAGAUGGGACAGGGAGAAAAAAGUAGCUGUUUCAGUAGAGACCCUGCUUAGCUUGAGGCUGGGUUCUCCCUUUCAUUCCCACACUCAGUAAAGGAAACAAGGAGAACUACUAACAAGAAGAUGGGUAGGGGGAGGGGAGGGAGGGAGGGUGUGGGAGGCAGGAGGUAGUGGGUGAGGGGUGGGAGAUGGAAGGGAAGGGGGCAUGGGGUGGAGUAUAAAGGAAUAGGGAGUAAGGGGCGGGGAAGUGGGGGCAAGAUGAUGAGGGGAGAGGGUAAGGGAGUAAAGGGAUGGAGUGGGGGUGGGGGUAAGGGGCCUGGGUAAGAAGGUCAGGGAGUAAGGGGGAGAGAGAGUGGGAUGGGAGGCAAGGAGGCAAGGCAUAAGAGGGUCAGGGAGUGAGGGAGGUGAGGGGGUCGGGGUAUGAGGGGCCAGGGGACUCAUGUAAAGGGUGACAGGUUAUGUUAAUAAGUUAAUAUGGUGACAUGUUAGUGGCAGACUACAAUAUAUACAUGGUAAGCGUACAGAGACUGACAAUACAAGACCUUCAACUUUUUUCCAUCUUUGAAGAUGUUCAUGAUAAAUAUUUGGAGAGAAAUGCAGAUGAGAGAAGACUAGUCCUCAAGGAAAGGGUCUUUCCUGACUACAGUUAACUGCAGCCGUGCAGUAGGGUUUCCAGGAGACAGAAGCAGUGCCUGGCAAAGCAGCCAUAGUUCCACAACACACUAAGAGAUGAAGAUAAAGAGGGAACAAGACAAACCCUUCAAUCUUAUUAGAAGUAAAGCUAUUACUAAUCAAAAAUGAGCCACCUCUUCCAAGUCUUUAAAAAUGCAUUAUAUUUACUCGUUUGUGUUUGUGUCUGUGGCAUAUGUGUAUGGGUGUAUAAGCCAGCUAACAACUUGCAGGACUCAUUUCUCUUGGGGGAUUGAACUCAAAAUCAUCAGGUUUGGCAGCAAGCACCUUUAGCCACUGAACCAUCUUGCCAUCCUAUCAAUUCUUGAUAGGAGUUUAAAGUGCUAUUUAAUCCUGUGGAGGAUUCAUGGAGAGACUAGCAGCAGGGUGCAAAUCCUUUAAUUAUGGGAGUGUCUUGCAAACUCUCAGUAUCUCAGCUCCCAUCUGCAAAAUGGAGGACAGGACCUCAAACCAGCUAGGGUCAUGGACAGAGAGCAAGAGAUUGGCAAAAGCUGAGUGUGGUAGUGCAAUCCUAUCACCUGGGAGGUAAAGGCAGGAGGAUCACCACAAGGUUCAGGCCAGCCUGGGCCACAUAGUGAGACCCGGCCUCACAACAGGAGGGACUCGCAGCUGUCAAUGUGGAAUAGCCAGUGUGAUUUAUGGUUACCUCUGUGCUAGACUAAGUCUUUUUUGUGUGCAUGUCUAUGUGUGUGUGUCUAUGUGUGUGUGUGUGUGUGCUUGCAUGAAUAUGUGGAGGCUAGAGGAUGCUGUUAUGUGUCUUCCUUGAUCACUGGAAUGGAGCUGGCCCACUUGGCCAGUUUAUCUAUCGAGUUUACCUUGCCUCUGCUUCCCAAGUACUGGGAUUACAAGUGGGCCAUCACACCUUCACAUGAGUGCUAGGGAAUUGAACUCUAGUCCAUACACUUCUGUGGCAAGCACUUUUCUUGAUGAGCCAUCUUCUCAGCCCUCCACUGAAUUUUCUAUAACAAAUGUGUAUUAGCUUGGCAAUUAGGAAAGAAAAAUGUCAAAAAUAAUCUCAGCCAGUAGCAAUAAUUUAUUUAUUUAUUUAUUUAUUUAUUUAUUUAUUUAUUUGGUUUUUUUUCAAGACAGGGUUUCUCUGUGUUGCUCUGGCUGUCCUGGAACUCAGUCUGUAUAGACCAGGCUGGCCUCAAACUUAGAAAUCCGCCUGCCUCUGCCUCCCAAGUGCUGGGAUUAAAGGCGUGCACCACCACUGCCCGGUUAGUAGCAGUAAUUUAGGAUGCUGGGAUUUAUGGCUACAUGCUGUUCUUUCAUAUAGGGAGCCAAAUUUGUCCCAAAUCUAAGUGAAAAUUCACAAUCAAUGCCUUCCUAAUCUAAACAUUGAAAGCGUGGGGGAAAGAUGAAGUAUGGGACCAUGUGUCCCGUGAAAGGAAGAGCGAGUCAAGCCACUGAAGAAGAUUACACGCUCUGCAAUGCAUGAGACACCCCAGGAAUGCUCCCUAGUUGUUGCUGGACUGAGCCCCAAACUCUCUGAUCCCAUGUGGUAACCCACUGAAUCCAUUCAGAAUGCUACCUUGUGUCACAGGCCCUAUGAAAGUCAUCUCCAACUGUCUCUGUUGCCUGGGGGGAGCGUGAUAGCUACAACUGAGAAAAAGACCCAACAGCUCCUAGCCAUCCCCAGUAACACACACAGCAACUGUCCCUGUUGGGGCAGAGGAUUUGGGGGAGGGGAGAAGGAAGAGGACAAAGGGCCACUCUUAUGGAAAAAGUGUCCAGAAUGUCCCAGGCAAGCUUUUGAUCACUUGCCUUGCUUGGUCAAAGCAGGCAAAGGUGAACAGAAGGGCGGGAUGGCCACCAGCCAGCUCACAGGAUGAGGUCAGAGCAGGUGCAGAAAUGGCCGCAGGGAGGGCACUGGGCCUUGGAGGACAAGGGUCCGUGUGUGCUGGCUACUGUGGGGCAGAGCAGCAAGACUCCAUGCAGCCUGGCCUUGAGCUCUUCAUGAGGAGUGGCCCCAGUGAAAUCUAAACAACAGGAUGAGGGUGGACCAGCAGGCCACUUCCAAUUAGAGCACUGGGUAUCGCCUGGGCUCAUCACAAGGGCUGCCGUUCACAGGGCUGCCGUUCACAGGGCUGCCAUUCACAGGGCUGCCAUUCACAGGGCUUGUGCUCCUGCCUGGAUCAGCUGUCACUGUCUUGAAACAAAAACUUCUAUGAGGUACCUGUAUUUUAAUUUUGCACUGGGACCACAAGUUAAGCAGCAGGGGUUGCUGGGAGGUGAGAGAUGCAGGAACCGCUUCUCUGAAUCCCAACUCCUAAGAACUGUGAGUUAGCAUCGAGGACCAGAAAAACUCCAUCUGAUACUCGCCAGAUCUGCAUCUGGUCCAUCCUGUUGGGUUUCCAGGAAGGGCAGGAGAAAAGGCAGCUGCUGAGCCAGGAGGGGGCACCCAGGGAUAGGGAUGUUUCACCGUAUUGGUUUUGUUUUAUUCUGAUGCUGGGAAUGGAACCCAGGCCCUCAACCAUACUAACCAAGCUUGCCGCUCAGCGACUGCCUAGUCCUCUUGUUAAUCAAACACAAGUCAAGGCCUUAAGGAGGUACAGGCUGUACCCAGCAUAUGCCUGUGAGCCUAGCACUUCAGAGGCUAGGGCAGGGGGGGUUCCUGAGUUCCAGGCCACCCAGGGCUCCAUAGUGAGACCCUGCCUUAAAAACGAAAUGAGGGGCUAGGGAGACAGCUCCGUGGCUAAAGUCCUUGCUGUGCAAAUGUGAGGUCCUGCAUUUGGAUCCCAGCAUCCAUGGAAGGCUGGGUCCGGCAGUGUGCACAGGUCCUGGAGGGAGAGGGUGGAGGGGGAGGGUGGAGACAGGCAGACCCCUGGGCUUGCUGGCUGGCCAGCCUAGCUCAAUCAGUGACUCCACGGGUCCGUGAGAGGUGGAAGAUGUUGUCAAGGGAGGACUGCGACACCAGAGGGAGGUGUUCACACCCUGGUAUUGCAGGCCUCCCACUCCAGGGAACUUGUCCCAGAAAGAAACCCAAGUGAAGAAAGCGUAUGUGCCGAAGAUGCUCGGGCAGCAGUUUGGCUGUGCUGAUGAUCUGAGCAGAAGAGACUCGCUGAACAGAAGGAAACUCAUUCUGGAGACAUUUGAUACAAUCAAGCCCACAGUCACGUGGGGAGCUGCCUGGGUCGCACUGCCAUGGGAAAAGGAUGUAAAAGAGACGUUCGUCUGAAGGAAAAGUAUGAACCAGAAAUAGGAACCUAACGGUAGUGUCCUGAACUGUCACAGCACCGGAACUGCUGUCUCAAGAGCAUCCUUCAAAGUAACAGCUGUCCAGGGACAGAAGAGUGGCCCCGCUAGGCCAAGAACAAAGUAUGUGGGUUGGAGGGCUGGAAAGAAGGCUUGGGACUCUGCAACACAUGAACAAUCUCACAAUGGCUCCAGGGAUGAAGGUUCUCAACAGGGCCACUUCCUAAGUAAAACUAAACACUCCAGGCCGAGCCACACACCGAGUAACUGCCCUCAUUUCCCAUGGAAUACCCCACAAUAACCUAGGGUACUGUCCAGGUGAGGUGCAAACCUGAGUCCAUGACUCCCUUCCAUCCUGGUAUGACAGUGGAUGUGGGCAGCUACUAUUUCUGCAGAUGUGCGUCAGCGGUCAUUAUCCAACAUGAACGUCAGAGGAGAGGACGUAAAAGGAAGUUUAUCUUUAGCAGCCUGAGGCCCAUGGCUCCAUCAUUAUUCAUGUUGUUCCUCUGUGUGGUCAGACGCAUUGCUGGUGUGAGCUGACUGGCCCCUUACAGGAAAACUGGGCACUGGGGAAUGAAUCAUGCCUACACGGGCAGUUAGUGGCUGGCCUUGUAGGAUGUUCUUUGAAGAGGUCCAAGAUGGGGGAGGGGCGUGAGCUCCAGCUCAACCUUGUGUUGAGACUGUGUUCUCUUCAGUCCACUGCUUACCCUGAUGUUUCUCUACUUGGUUUCCUGGUGAGCCCUGAUCCAAUUCUGGCCUAUACCUGAGCCCUCAUGGGGUCACCUGUCUUGGCCUGGCACCUGAGUGGCCCUCUGUUUAUUGCUUUGAGCUAGCAGAGAUCACUGUAUUACUCUGAUAAAUGCUUUUGUUAACAGGGCUGCUCAGGCUGUAUGACUGAACAAUUGUGUACUGCAUAAUUCUAGGAGGGAGGGGCCACCACACUAAACACUGUAGAUUCAUUUUUACUGUAACACAUGUCCAAUAGUUGCAAGAAAAGAGUACCCACCCCUGCAAAAUAAUGUAAUAAUCUUAGAAUAAGUGGAAGUGAGGGUCUUGGGGAGUCUGUCAAGGCUCCAAGUAGGCCCACUGCAGCCUCCAAACAACGGAUGAAGCUGCCCCCAGCAUCUGUACUGCCUUCCUUAGACUCUUGGGGGCCUCUGACCAAAAUACACUCUAGGCUGCACGGUUGGGAAACCUGAUGCCUGACAUAGUUCUGUUGACCUCAUAUUUACUGAGUACACUGGGCCAUGGCCAAACAAGAUGGUGUGUUACUCUUCUCUGGUGUGCUUUCUCUUCUACUUUGAUCACCCAGCCUGCCCUCAGAAGCCAGAGCUGCAGGCUGCUUGCCACCCCGGUCUCUGAGCUGCCACAGGCAUAAAUUCAGCCUGUGUGUGUAGCAGUGAGGGCGAGGGAUGCCUGCUCUCCCAGACUCUCCUAAACUCUCCCUCUUCCCACAGUGCUCUGCUCCCCAACCUGCCCCCUGCUCCCACACAAGCAUGCUCACAACACACAGGGGUGGUAUCCUCUGUAGAACUUCGCCCCUGCUCCCCCACAGGCAUACCCUUCCCCACCCCUCAGCUGCCUGUCUGCAGAGGGCCCUCCUCAUGGGCUUCCUGGCAACACCUUUCUCAGCUCCUGUGCGUUUGCCUCACUGAACAGUCUUGAUUCUCCACUUGAUGACCUCCUGUAUGCCCUGGACACCAACUCUGGCCACAGGGCCCUAUUCAGGCCUAAGCUCUUUCCGUGGGAAGGUACAGAAGGAUCAGGAGGCCCGUUGGCCUGUAAAUGAGGUGAGUAGGGCACUCCACCCUCCUCUCCUCUGGGAUGGACCUCAGUCCCCUGGCUACAGACAGUGCGCCCCACCACAGCGCGCGAGAAUAACCGAAAAACAAGAUUUUCUGAUAUAUGCAAAAGGCAGAGUGUGCUGACUUCUCUACCACUUCCCUCUACCUCUGGAACACCACAACAGUGUUGACUCCCCCCGCCCCCCUGCAUUUAGCCUUUCCCAAGUGACAAGGAUUCUCCCUCAAGGCACCUUCUGCAUGCUCCAGGGUCUGAGGUUCCUCCCCAGAAAAUGAGUGGUAUGCCUUGCAGCUUGGGCCUUCCAGUGCAUUCUGUUCCUUGACCACCCCUUUGGCACCCAUCAGACUUUUGCCUGUGUGAUCUUAGGACAGUCAUUUUUCCUCCUUGAGCCUCAGUUUCCCCAUCUGUAAAGUGAUAAUGGCAAUAGUCCUCUUGCUUGCUGUGUUACUUGGGGCACUGUCUGGACGUGAUGGUUUGAAACUAAGCACAUCUGCCAAAGGCUCCCACUGGAGGGUCUGGCCACCGGCUGAGGGACUCCUGAGAGGAGCCAGAGCACAGGGGGCCUAACUUCUCAGAGGCUGAUCCUCCUCCUCCUCCUCUCCCGCUUUCUACAAUUCAGCACCCCACCCCCAGCCCUUCUACCAUGGUAUUCUGUGCUCUCUGGGCCCAGAAGCAACAUCAGCCAACCAAGUACUAACAAAUGCGGCCUAAACAAAGUCACAUUCUCUUUGUUUUGUCACAGCAACAAAAUGCUAACACCAAGGGUGCUACAGCUCUCCUUCAAAGCCCUAUGGUGGCUUCGUUUUCCGUAUGGGGACCAGGGGUGGCCCAGGUUACCCAGUCAGACUUCUGCCUCCAAACCAUCUUUGUCCCCUGUGCAAACAAGGGCAGUGAGGCACUGCUCCUGACUGGCAUGUAAAAAAAAUCACACAGGAGCUUAAAAUCCACCAGUGUCCUCACAUGAGCAGGUACCAAGUAUUAAUGAGCAGUCAGAGGCUUCCACACAGGUGACUGCAUAGGUCCCCCUUCAUGGGGCUACACUGAGCAGUAGUAACCACUGGGUACAGGGAAAACCUUUAAUAUGGACAGCCCUGAAGCGAAGUCUCCUUUCCAUGAGCCAUUGGUCAUCUCCAGAGAUGCCAGGGCUGUACCCUCCUUACCAUGCCUUCAUGCCCAGACACUAAUAGCUGUCACCUCACAAGGCCUGGUGUCAUACCCUCAGUCUGCCUGCCUGUCCUUUCUGACCCACUCCCUCCCACUUCUAGCCUGUCACAAGGCUCUGAGACCUUUGACCUCCUGACCCCUAUCCUGUCCUUAUUCCCACCUGUGCCACUGUACGAAUCCUAUAACAGGAGGGGUUACUUCCACCAGGAAGUCCUCUGUGAUUUUUCACUUUAUCAAUUGCUUUUUCUCCUUCCCUCCCUCCCAUCCUCUAGUAAAGCCACUUGCCUCAGUAGCACUAAAACAACUAAAUAAAUAAAUGAGAAGAUAGGACAAUAGCU